rnacentral:rRNA from 1 species
CGGGGAAUUUUGGACAAUGGGGGAAACCCUGAUCCAGCCAUCCCGCGUGUGCGAUGAAGGCCUUCGGGUUGUAAAGCACUUUUGGCAGGAAAGAAACGUCGCGGGUUAAUACCCCGCGAAACUGACGGUACCUGCAGAAUAAGCACCGGCUAACUACGUGCCAGCAGCCGCGGUAAUACGUAGGGUGCAAGCGUUAAUCGGAAUUACUGGGCGUAAAGCGUGCGCAGGCGGUUCGGAAAGAAAGAUGUGAAAUCCCAGAGCUUAACUUUGGAACUGCAUUUUUAACUACCGGGCUAGAGUGUGUCAGAGGGAGGUGGAAUUCCGCGUGUAGCAGUGAAAUGCGUAGAUAUGCGGAGGAACACCGAUGGCGAAGGCAGCCUCCUGGGAUAACACUGACGCUCAUGCACGAAAGCGUGGGGAGCAAACAGGAUUAGAUACCCUGGUAGUCCACGCCCUAAACGAUGUCAACUAGCUGUUGGGGCCUUCGGGCCUUGGUAGCGCAGCUAACGCGUGAAGUUGACCGCCUGGGGAGUACGGUCGCAAGAUUAAAACUCAAAUGAAUUGAC